GACGAACGCUGGCGGCGUGCUUAACACAUGCAAGUCGAACGGUAAGGCCCCUUCGGGGGUACACGAGUGGCGAACGGGUGAGUAACACGUGAGCAACCUGCCCUUGACUUUGGGAUACCAGCUGGAAACAGCUGCUAAUACCGGAUAUGACCUCUUCUCUCAUGGGUUGAGGUGGAAAGCUCCGGCGGUCAGGGAUGGGCUCGCGGCCUAUCAGCUUGUUGGUGAGGUAAUGGCUCACCAAGGCUUCGACGGGUAGCCGGCCUGAGAGGGCGACCGGCCACACUGAGACUGAGAUACGGCCCAGACUCCUACGGGAGGCAGCAGUGGGGAAUAUUGCACAAUGGGCGCAAGCCUGAUGCAGCAACGCCGCGUGCGGGAUGACGGCCUUCGGGUUGUAAACCGCUUUCAGUAGGGACGAAGCUAACGUGACGGUACCUACAGAAGAAGGACCGGCUAACUACGUG
rnacentral:rRNA from 1 species